rnacentral:lncRNA from 1 species
UUAUCUGUGACCGAAUGCCUGGAAACACGCAUUGUUGUGUCUGCUGCCGUUACACGAGGGCUGUCAGCGCGGAGCCUGCGAGUGCUGGGCAGGCAGCAGGGAAGCCGGAGCGGUGCAGGACUCGAUCCAAAGGCUAUCCAAGUCAUCGGGAAGCAUCACGUUGGCUCCUGCAGCCUUCGGCGAAGACACAACUCCUUUCACUGUAACCGCAUCUGAAUCCCUGCAACAGGCGUUACUUAAUAACCCUGAGUAGCGAAACAGAAGAAAAUUUCUUUGAAAGUAUGUGCCAAUCUCCCAAAUAGCAUUUCCAGCAAAAAAGGCCGCUUAACAGCUACUACCGCUGCAGACAGAAAAGGAAAAUGAGGCCUUCCUCACCUCUCCAGUACCACGGCGCAACUAGUGCCGGGAAAUGGCUCUGAAAUCGAGGCACAGGCUUUCGCCACUGCUUGUUCCAGCUACAAAGAAUGUGUGCGUUUCGAUGAGGCUUUCAGACAUUGGGAAGAUACUCAUUAAGAGGGUGAAAUCCAGAGCAGAGUCUGUACAGCGCCUUGGGCAGCACCUGGGAGUUCCAGUGUUUCUUCUGUUUCUUCUUAAUGUGACGAAACCUGAGCAUGAAUGGGAAGAGUUCAUUCGUAAUGCGGCCAGCCCCUGCGGUGUCGAGCUGAGAAAGUCUGCGGUUGUUAUUUCCUCCUGUGGGGUGUUUGUGGAUGACCAUCGCUGUCCCGAGAGCACCAGCCUGCGCAGCAGACAGCACGGUGUGUCCGGGCAGACAGCAGGCAGUGUCUGGGCAAACGUCGUGGUGUGUCCUGCUCGUGGCCAUGCCCAGCUUUGCCUAUUCGAUGUGCUGUCCGUCCCUACAUGCACAUUUCCUGAAUGGCCCUUUACCUCUGGAGCUGCAGCGGGCCGUGGAGUGAGCUGUGGUGCCAGGGUCACCCUCUGCACCCUGACCACCAGUGGGUGCAGAAGCAGAUGCUGGAGGGGCGAUGCAGCGACAGCAAUCACUCGCUUCCCGAAGGAGCAGAGAGGUGGUCCCGACCCGCACCCAGCGCUGCUCUCAAACCAGCUCCAACCCUGA